AACAACUGAUCAUACAACUGGUGAGUACGGAAAUUGUUUUGCUUUCUAUUAAUUUCUAAUUUUAUAUUUUAUCAUUAAUUAUUUCAUUUUAUUUCUGAGAAUUUUCAGCAAAACAAGUCUUGAGAGAUCAUCAAGACAGAAGAUGAGCCACAUGUCCCCAACAUCAAUUUGCCCAAGGAUAUCACAAUAAAAUAACUAAGAUACCACCUGAGAACUAUGAUAAUACCACAACACAACAACUGUACGAUGGAAUGUAAAAAAAAACUAUUGAUAGUAAAUGGAUACAAAAUAGUUCCAGUUUAUUUUGUCAGGAUGCCGAAAGCUACUUCUUUUGAAGCAAAACCAGCUUCUACCAAUUUAUCCACGAGUAUCACGAAACGUCAGUUUCGUGGUAAUGAACUUAUACAUUACUAUUUUAGCACAAUAACCACAAACUUCAAUCAAUUUUAUUUGAUUUUUGUUUGUUUUUCAAUGCACAAAUAAGUAAUUAUGUCAUCAUUAUGAUUUUUGUUAUAGAUACUAGAAGUAACUAUACAGUUUUAUUACAGACAAAAAAAAUUGGAUAUCAUGAACAGAUAUAUCAUUGCGAAAAAUGCUAUAAAGAACAUAAGCGUUGACAUCCAAGCAUCUCAGAAGACGAAUAUUUGUUCGGACAGCAAAAUUCGCCUAUCAGUAAGAUCUGACGAAGAUCUAUCAACUCUUGAAGGGAGAAAUUGGCUUACGAGAGAGAUUCAACAUAGAGUCAUCUGAAUCAUUGUACGGUUUUUUUCAUCUACUGUGCAGCUGCUGUUCGCAAACGUGGACUGGUAAGUCUGCGUAUAAUGCUCAGUAUGGCACAGCAUCUGGCAAUGCGUCUGAGCUUCAUGUAGUUGCUGUUCUAAUAGAUGUUGCACAAACAAAAUUCCAUGUUGAUCGAAGCCGUUCCAAAACUGAAUUCUGGAGAGUGCUACAUAACUCUUAAUGAAGCAGUAGCUUCUCGUUGGAAGCGUAAAACAUUGACAAUCUUCCUGGCUAGCAGACCGGCGAACCUUAUCCGAUGUUGCACAAACAAAAUUCCAUGUUGAUCGAAGCCGUUCCAAAACUGAAUUCUGGAGAGUGCUACAUAACUCUUAAUGAAGCGGUAGCUUCUCGUUGGAAGCGUAAAACAUUGACAAUCUUCCUGGCUAGCAGACCGGCGAACCUUAUCCGACAAAAAAAAUUGGAUAUCAUGACAGAUAUAUCAUCGCGAAAAAUGCUAUAAAGAACAUAAGCGUUGACAUCCAAACAUCUCAAAAGACGAAUAUUUGUUCGGACAGCAAAAUUCGCCUAUCAGUAAGAUCUGACGAAGAUCUAUCAACUCUUGAAGGGAGAAAUUGGCUUACGAGAGAGAUUCAACAUAGAGUCAUCUGAAUCAUUGUACAGUUUUUUUCAUCUACUGUGCAGCUGCUGUUCGCAAACUUGGACUGGUAAGUCUGCGUAUAAUGCUCAGUAUGGCACAGCAUCUGGCAAUGCGUCUGAGCUUCAUGUAGUUGCUGUUCUAAUAGAUGUUGCACAAACAAAAUUCCAUGUUGAUCGAAGCCGUUCCAAAACUGAAUUCUGGAGAGUGCUACAUAACUCUUAAUGAAGCGGUAGCUUCUCGUUGGAAGCGUAAAACAUUGACAAUCUUCCUGGCUAGCAGACCGGCGAACCUUAUCCGACAAAAAAAAUGGAUAUCAUGACAGAUAUAUCAUUGCGAAAAAUGCUAUAAAGAACAUAAGCGUUGACAUCCAAACAUCUCAAAAGACGAAUAUUUGUUCGGACAGCAAAAUUCGCCUAUCAGUAAGAUCUGACGAAGAUCUAUCAACUCUUGAAGGGAGAAAUUGGCUUACGAGAGAGAUUCAACAUAGAGUCAUCUGAAUCAUUGUACAGUUUUUUUCAUCUACUGUGCAGCUGCUGUUCGCAAACUUGGACUGGUAAGUCUGCGUAUAAUGCUCAGUAUGGCACAGCAUCUGGCAAUGCGUCUGAGCUUCAUGUAGUUGCUGUUCUAAUAGAUGUUGCACAAACAAAAUUCCAUGUUGAUCGAAGCCGUUCCAAAACUGAAUUCUGGAGAGUGCUACAUAACUCUUAAUGAAGCGGUAGCUUCUCGUUGGAAGCGUAAAACAUUGACAAUCUUCCUGGCUAGCAGACCGGCGAACCUUAUCCGAUGUUGCACAAACAAAAUUCCAUGUUGAUCGAAGCCGUUCCAAAACUGAAUUCUGGAGAGUGCUACAUAACUCUUAAUGAAGCGGUAGCUUCUCGUUGGAAGCGUAAAACAUUGACAAUCUUCCUGGCUAGCAGACCGGCGAACCUUAUCCGGUAACAAGAUUUAAAUAAUUUUGAUAAUGUUAAAUGAUAAUGAUAAAAAAAUGGAUGGGUUAUAUCUAUGAUAAAACCGCAAGGUUAACGUGGGACUAUCAUCUUAGCCGGAUUAGUAAUCAAUGAAACCAUUUUCGAAUUCAAUUGAAUUCAACACAUUUUCUUUGUAUGUAAAAAAUUUGAACAAACGCCAAAAAUACCUGACUUGCAUGCGUUUACGAUGCCGAUUUCCUCAGGCUGCUUGGUUUUGAAGUCUGUGUUAGGGAACACAUUUUUAUUGAGAACAGAAGUUCCCCCAACUUUCAUGUAUUUGCAAUGCCGAUUUCCUCAGGCUGCUUGGUUUAGAAGUCUGUGUUGGAGAAACCGUAAAUCGCGACCAAUUAAA